AGUGAACGCUGGCGGUAGGCCUAACACAUGCAAGUCGAACGGCAGCACAGUAAGAGCUUGCUCUUACGGGUGGCGAGUGGCGGACGGGUGAGGUAUACAUCGGAAUCUACUUUUUCGUGGGGGAUAACGUAGGGAAACUUACGCUAAUACCGCAUACGACCUACGGGUGAAAGCAGGGGAUCUUCGGACCUUGCGCGAGUGAAUGAGCCGAUGUCGGAUUAGCUAGUUGGCGGGGUAAAGGCCCACCAAGGCGACGAUCCGUAGCUGGUCUGAGAGGAUGAUCAGCCACACUGGAACUGAGACACGUCCCAGACUCCUACGGUAGGAAGCAGUGGGGAAUAUUGGACAAUGGGGGAAAGCCUGAUACAGCCAUACCGCGUGGGUGAAGAAGGACUUCGGGUUGUAAAGCCCUUUUGUUGGGAAAGAAAAGCAGCAGGUUAAUACCCCGCUGUUCUGACGGUACCCAAAGAAUAAGCACCGGCUAACUUCGUG
rnacentral:rRNA from 1 species